UACGUGCCAGCAGCCGCGGUAAUACGUAGGGUGCAAGCGUUAUCCGAUUUACUGGGUGUAAAGGGCGAGUAGACGGCGAUGCAAGUCAGAUGUGAAAUGCUAGGCUUAACCUUAGAACUGCAUCUGAAACUGUAUUGCUAGAGUGCAGGAGAGGUAAACGGAAUCCUAGUGUAGCGGUGAAAUGCGUAGAUAUUAGGAGGAACAUCAGUGGCGAAGGCGGUUACUGGACUGUAACUGACGUUGAGGCGCGAAAGCGUGGGGAGCAAACAGGAUUAGAUACCUGGUAGUCCACGCCGUAAACGAUGGAUACUAGGUGUAGGCUCAAACGAGUCUGUGCCGUGCUAACGCAAUAAGUAUCCCACCUGGGGAGUACGGCCGCAAGGUUGAAACUCAAAGGAAUGACGGGGGCCCGCACAAGCAGUGGAGUAUGUGGUUUAAUUCGACGCAACGCGAAGAACUUACCAAGACUUGACAUAUACUAGAAAAUCUAAGAAAUUAGAUCCCUCUUCGGAGCUGGAUACAGGUGAUGCAUGGUUGUCGUCAGCUCGUGUCGUGAGAUGUUGGGUUAAGUCCCGCACGAGCGCAACCCUCGUGAUUAGUUGCUGCCUAGCAGAACUCUAAUCAGACUGCCGUAGUAAUACGGAGGAAGGUGAGGAUGACGUCAAAUCAUCACGUCCCUUACGUCUUGGGCUACCACGUACUACAAUGGGUGUUACAGAGAGAAGCGAAGCCGCGAGGCAGAGCAAAUCUGAUAAAGCAUCCCUAGUUCGGAUUGUAGGCUGCAACUCGCCUACAUGAAGCUGGAAUUGCUAUAAUCACAGGUCAGCAUACUGUGGUGAAUACGUUCCCGGGCCUUGUACACACCGCCCGU
rnacentral:rRNA from 1 species